rnacentral:miRNA from 1 species
CCUUCUGAUCUGCUGUCUCCAUGGUGACCGUGGCUUUAGAUUGUUACUGUAGCAGCUGCAGGGAGGUAACAGUCUACAGCCAUGGUCGCUAGGGGCAGACACCACGGCAACAGUGGAA